UACAUGGGGUGCAAACGUUGCUCGGAAUUAUUGGGCGUAAAGCGCGCGUAGGCGGUUACUCAAGUCGGAUGUGAAAGCCCUCGGCUUAACUGAGGAAGUGCACCCGAAACUGAGUAGCUAGAGUACUAAAGAGGGUCGCGGAAUUCCCGGUGUAGAGGUGAAAUUCGUAGAUAUCGGGAGGAGCACCGGUGGCGAAGGCGGCGACCUGGGUAGAUACUGACGCUGAGGCGCGAAAGCGUGGGGAGCAAACAGG
rnacentral:rRNA from 1 species